GCACCCGUAGCUCAGCUGGAUAGAGCGUUGGUUUGCGGUACCAGAGGUCGUGCGUUCGAAUCGCGCCGGGUGUACCA
rnacentral:tRNA from 6 species